AUCUGCUAACCCAGCUCGCGAGAGGGGGAGCCGGCGCGAGGACUUGGGAGACGGCGGCGCAGGAGUGAGGACCUUGGCCAUGACGUCGGCGCGAGGACCUGCAGGCGAAGACGCCGACGCGAGGUCCAGGAGGCGAAGCCCAGGCUGGUCUUGGUCGUAGUGGCCGCUCGCCCACGUACGUCCCCGCGGCCGCCGCCGUGAGGUUCUGGAGGGGACGACGCCGGCGCGAGGUCUUGGAGGUCCCGGCUGCGCUUGGUCGUAAUGAUGGACGAACAGAGGUAUAUCUUCCCCUGCCCUCAUCUCUUCCUCCCGUCCUUCCCUACUCACACCUUGGUCUGGCGGUGGAGGCGUGGAGCAACUGCACAUUGCAGCGCCUUGAACUAAAAUUCAGUUAGCAACUCGGGUUCCGAUUGCUAGUGGAUAUGUCAGCAGUGCGUUCGCUACAUUGCGCAACUUCCGCAAUCACUAAUCGCAUGAUUAGUGGCUGCCCGCGUCCAGCACUUGAGUUGUCCUCGAUGCCUGCAAUGACGCUGCUGCUGCUGACUGUAGCACGCUGCUGCUGCUGCUACGUAUUUGACAUGUAGGCAUCAUCAACACAAAACUCUCAAGGGAAGAGGGAUAUGAUAUGAAUUUUUUUCAGCAGAGAACAUCAUUUGGUUUGUCACACAAACCCACAAGUAGAAAUUGCAGCCUUAAAGUUUCCAGAAUCAACUGUUAACUGUGUAUGCUUAUGGUCAUACUCCUGUAUCAUACACAUACACAAGUUCAAGCCAUAUAUGUAUAAAGUUCUGUUAACUGUCUAGCCUUUAUUCAUUAAAGAAAUCUUGAAUUUUGGAUUACUUGUAACAGCAUGUUCAAACAACUGAAAUCUUGCUGCAGCAUACACAUACAAGUUCAGGUCAUACAUGUAAACUAUGGCUUGGAACAACUUAACUAGUGCUAAUAACAGUUUCAUACUUCAGUUGCAUGUGUUUGUUUUGAAGUUCAGAACAGACACAGAUUCAGAGUCCACAAAUGUCUUACAACUUGUAGCAUUCCCCAGUGGCAGUUGCUGCUUAUAAACUACAGAGAACACUGAUAAUAAAUCCCACUAAGCAUAUCAAAAUUCAGAUAUAUCAUAAACUACAGAGAUUCUGCAAUUUCUGAAGAGUUGUUAAAUAUUACUUGCUAUGAUAACGUUCUCAGACUAUUCAUAAUCCUCGAUUGUUAUUAGAGUUUGUGUAUUCCCUACGACAGCAAAAACGGCAUCAAUUAAGGCAGCCACGAUUCGAACAGUGAGCAUCAGGUUUAUUGUCUAUCUUGGGUGGUCAUUGUAGCAGUAGUGUUUGUACUGGACAACCUUCAGCCACCGUUGUUUACUUCCAACUCGCCGGCCAGCCACCAAGGUCUACCUCCUGUCUCGUUGGAUCGCCGGACAGCCGCUGUCGUCUACCUCGCGCCUCGCCGGACAACACGGUCAUCAAACUCUUUCUCACCGGGCAGCCACCGCCGUCUACGUCUGCCUCAUAGUUAAUUGUGUGCUAGCAAUUCCUCCAGAGAACUUGUUAGGUUAUUCUAACUCUACCAUGUAUCCAUGAUCUUGUUUUCUGAAUAUGUAAUCUUUUUAGUGAUUUUCAUUUUCAUUUUAUUUUUCAUGGCGCUUCCAUGAUUUAUUUCAUUUUCUGGUAUAUAUUUUUGAAGAUUUUUAUUUGCUUUUCCCUAA